GAUAUGAGAGUUGCUCGGUAUUUCAAAUUCAACAAAAAACUCUAGCUGGUUUCUAAGAAAACAGUACACAUAAGAAAAUAGCAACCAAAAUCCAAGCAUAUUUUGACUAAAUAUCAAUCGAAGGUCCAAAAUUAGAUAAGAAAUUGCUUUAUACAGUAGUAACAGCGACACGAGUAAUCAACUAUUCAUUUAUAUCAAGUAGCUCAUUUCUUAAGACAUUUGAAACAUCAAU
rnacentral:lncRNA from 1 species